rnacentral:rRNA from 1 species
AGGCAACGAUCAGUAGGGGUUCUGAGAGGAAGGUCCCCCACAUUGGAACUGAGACACGGUCCAAACUCCUACGGGAGGCAGCAGUGAGGAAUAUUGGUCAAUGGACGAGAGUCUGAACCAGCCAAGUAGCGUGCAGGAUGACGGCCCUAUGGGUUGUAAACUGCUUUUAUAAGGGAAUAAAGUGAGUCUCGUGAGACUUUUUGCAUGUACCUUAUGAAUAAGGACCGGCUAAUUCCGUGCCAGCAGCCGCGGUAAUACGGAAGGUCCGGGCGUUAUCCGGAUUUAUUGGGUUUAAAGGGCGCGUAGGCGGGACGACAAGUCAGCGGUAAAAGACUGCAGCUAAACUGUAGCACGCCGUUGAAACUGUUGACCUUGAGACGAGACGAGGGAGGCGGAACAAGUGAAGUAGCGGUGAAAUGCAUAGAUAUCACUUGGAACCCCGAUAGCGAAGGCAGCUUCCCAGGCUCGAUCUGACGCUGAUGCGCGAGAGCGUGGGUAGCGAACAGGAUUAGAUACCCUGGUAGUCCACGCCGUAAACGAUGCUCACUGGAUCUUGGCGAUAC